CAUUUUUAAUAGAAAUCAUUAUUAAUAAUUUCUGCUCUAUGAACUUUAAAUAGCCGCAGUUUAUCUGUGCUAAGGUAGCAUAAUCAUUUGUCUUCUAAUUUAAGUCUUGUAUGAAAGAUCAUACAUUUGAUUUAUUUUUUUAAUUUCAAUAUAAUUAAUUUAUCAUAAAUAUAAAAAGAUAUUUACAAAUAAAAAAGACGAUAAGACCCUAUCGAGUUUUACUUAAGUUUUACUGGGGCAGUAAGUUAAAAAUCAUUUUAACAUUUUAUUUAAAUACAUCUAGUUAAAUUAAUUUAAAUAAACUACCAUAGGGAUAACAGCGCAAUAAUUUAUUAUAGAUCUUAUAAAAUAAGUUGAUUACGACCUCGAUGUUGAAUUAAUAUUCUUAUAAUCGCAAUAGAUUUAAAAGAAAGUCUGUUCGACUUUUGAAUAAUUACAUGAU
rnacentral:rRNA from 1 species